ACGCACGCUGGCGGCGUGCUUAACACAUGCAAGUCGCACGGAAAGGCCCUGCUUUUGUGGGGUGCUCGAGUGGCGAACGGGUGAGUAACACGUGAGUAACCUGCCCUUGACUUUGGGAUAACUUCAGGAAACUGGGGCUAAUACCGGAUAGGAGCUCCUGCUGCAUGGUGGGGGUUGGAAAGUUUCGGCGGUUGGGGAUGGACUCGCGGCUUAUCAGCUUGUUGGUGGGGUAGUGGCUUACCAAGGCUUUGACGGGUAGCCGGCCUGAGAGGGUGACCGGCCACAUUGGGACUGAGAUACGGCCCAGACUCCUACGGGAGGCAGCAGUGGGGAAUAUUGCACAAUGGGCGGAAGCCUGAUGCAGCAACGCCGCGUGCGGGAUGACGGCCUUCGGGUUGUAAACCGCUUUCGCCUGUGACGAAGCGUGAGUGACGGUAAUGGGUAAAGAAGCACCGGCUAACUACGUG
rnacentral:rRNA from 1 species